AUCUCAACUGUUUGCAUAUUUAGAAGCAAAAUUGGUUAUGCCUAGAAACAUCUCGUAGAGACUUAGAUGCAGCUUAUAUAAAUCAAAAUAAAGGCAUAAUAAUAACAAUAAAGAGACCGAGAGCACUAUACUGGCAGUGCAAGACUAAGCUUUGGCCACGAACUCGAGGGUCAACUUUCGGAAUGAGCAAGUAUUUGAAAAAAAAUAGCAUGGUACCGUAGGCUGUAGAUAGCAAACCCGCUACGCAUUACAAGACUCCAGAAGCUCCAACAAAACCUGUGAUAAAAAAAAAAGGAAUAAUAGUAAUAAUGAUUUCGGCCAGCGAUUUCAGGGCGGGGAACUAUUAGUCGAAUAUAUCGAUCCCCGUCAUUGGGCUAAAAUUUAAUUCUACCAACCCCGAAAAAAUGAAAAGUAAAGUUCAGCUUGGUGGCAUUUGAACUCAGAAAACAAAGAGUCGGAAGAAAUACCGCCUGGUAUUUUGUCCAUCGCAUUAAUGAAUCUGCCAAUCUAAACAAUAAUAAAAUAAUAAUAAUAAUAAUAAUUAUAUGACUAACAUUUUUCUUUAUUUUUUUCCAUCGCCUCCCCGUCGUUAACAGGUGCUGGUCAUAAACCGUGUCCAUUCACUGAAACAAGUACUCUGGUUAUUGAAACCGUUGACAAGAAGAUCGGUCAUGUGACCACCAAGAAACUCCGUGGUGACGCAACCAAGGUCUUGGCUAAAGGCAUCGGACUGAAGAAGGCGUUCAAUAACCGUGCUGUCAGUAUUACUUUAGACGUGAAGGAUGCCGGUCAUGGCAUGUUGAAUGUUGGAAUGGUCUCAGAGAAGGGCAAUCCUCCAGUUGAACUCUCGUAUAAAGCCUCAGGUAGAAACGCUUACACUCUGCAAUACAAAGUGAACGAAGCUGGAGAUCACACAUUAGCCAUCAACUGGGGAGACGAGCCAAUCCCUGGAAGUCCUUUCAGCAUACACUGUUAAUUCUGUAACUUUAACGAACUCAUUUCUUAUUGAAAUUUUUUAUCUAUUUA
rnacentral:lncRNA from 1 species